rnacentral:rRNA from 1 species
UACGUAGGGUGCGAGCGUUAAUCGGAAUUACUGGGCGUAAAGCGUGCGCAGGCGGUUAUAUAAGACAGAGGUGAAAUCCCCGGGCUCAACCUGGGAACUGCCUUUGUGACUGUAUAGCUUGAGUGCGGCAGGAGGGGAGUGGAAUUCCGCGUGUAGGCAGUGAAAUGCGUAGAUAUGACGGAGGAACACCGAUGGCGAAGGCAAUCCCCUGGGCCUGCACUGACGCUCAUGCACGAAAGCGUGGGGAGCGAA